CCGUGGUGCAUUGUAGUUGCAUUGCAUGUUUAUGGUGGUACCCAUGCAGUGUUUCCACAGUGCAUCACAG
rnacentral:pre_miRNA from 1 species